rnacentral:rRNA from 1 species
CCUACGUGAGGCAGCAGUGCGGAAUAUUGGUCAAUGGGCGCAAGCCUGAACCAGCCAAGUAGCGUGAAGGAUGACUGUCCUACGGGUUGUAAACUUCUUUUAUAAAGGAAUCAAGUGAGGCACGUGUGCCUUUUUGUAUGUACUUUAUGAAUAAGGAUCGGCUAACUCCGUGCCAGCAGCCGCGGUAAUACGGAGGAUCCGAGCGUUAUCCGGAUUUAUUGGGUUUAAAGGUCGCGUAGAUGGGUUGUUAAGUCAGUUGUGAAAGUUUGCGGCUCAACCGUAAAAUUGCAAGUGAUACUGGCAGUCUUGAGUACAGUUGAGGUAGGCGGAAUUCGUGGUGUAGCGGUGAAAUGCUUAGAUAUCACGAAGAACUCCGAUUGCGAAGGCAGCUUACUAAACUGCCACUGACAUUGAUGCUCGAAAGUGUGGGUAUCAAACAGGAUUAGAUACCCGAGUAGUC